rnacentral:rRNA from 1 species
GGAGUUUGGGCCGUGUCUCAGUCCCAAUGUGGCCGUUCACCCUCUCAGGCCGGCUACUGAUCGUCGACUUGGUGAGCCGUUACCUCACCAACUAUCUAAUCAGACGCGGGUCCAUCUUAUACCACCGGAGUUUUUCACACUGUAUCAUGCGAUACUGUGCGCUUAUGCGGUAUUAGCAGCCGUUUCCAACUGUUGUCCCCCGGUAUAAGGCAGGUUACCCACGCGUUACUCACCCGUCCGCCACUAGAAUUACAACUUAGCAAGCUAAAAUGUAAUUCCCGUUCGACUUGCAUGUGUUAAGCACGCCGCCAGCGUUCAUC